rnacentral:rRNA from 1 species
GAUGAACGCUGGCGGCGUGCUUAACACAUGCAAGUCGAACGGAAAGGCUCCUGCUUGCAGGGGUACUCGAUUGGCGAACGGGUGAGUAACACGUGGGUGAUCUGCCCUGCACUUCGGGAUAAGCCUGGGAAACUGGGUCUAAUACCGGAUAGGACCACAUGGUGGACGGUGUGGUGGAAAGUUUUUCGGUGUGGGAUGAGCUCGCGGCCUAUCAGCUUGUUGGUGUGGUAAUGGCCUACCAAGGCGUCGCCGGGUAGCCGGCCUGAGAGGGUGUACGGCCCCAUUGGGACUGAGCUACGGCCCAGACUCCUACGGAAGGCAGCAGUGGAGUAUAUUGCACUAUGGGCGGAAGCCUGAUGCAGCGACGCCGCGUGGGGGAUGACGGCCUUCGGGUUGUAUACUCCUUUCGCUAGGGACGAAGAGAAAGUGACGGUACCUGGAGAAGAAGCACCGGCUAACUACGUG